GCCCCGCCGCCCCCCGCCCUGCCCCCCGCGGGCCACCGGGUCGGGGUCGCCGCCGGGGCUCGGUCAGUCGGUACCUUCAUGAAGGUCUCUACCGCGCCUUUGGCCGUGUCCAGGUUGACUGAAAACAGAGGGCUGACAAUUGUCAUGCCACUGGGAAUAAGCACCAUGAAGGUCACCUGUUGCAGCUCGACAACUCAUUCGGAACUGCCUUCUGGAGGCAGCACUGUAAGAUGCCGUUAGCUCAUGGCUGGAUCAAUGCACGCAUGUGCUCCCCCUGUGACACUGAGAUGGUCAUCGCUGAGAAGGAAUAAACUGUUCCAAAGCCAGAAGAGGUGGCACAGAAGGAAGAGUCAUCCUAGAAGAAACUGAUGGAACUGGAACUUACAGCAUGGGGACAGCUUCAGUGGGAAAGACAUGCAAAUAAAAAAAGCGUGAUGAGGUCAGUCUGCUUUGUCCACUGCAGGAUCACUGGGCCCCACUUUGUACAUUUGCCUCAAUAAGCAUUUCUUGAACAAAUCCAGAUUUGCCUCUGAAUUGUCUGAAAGCAGCUCCUAAGGCAGACUGCUCUAUUUUCUCUGAACAUCCGCAGUUUUUCUCUUGCUAUAAUAUGUAUCCAGAUUAAAACUGUGACAGUGAU